rnacentral:rRNA from 1 species
GAAAGUAAGCAAGGGCAGACGGUGGAUGCCUUGGCUCUCGGAGGCGAUGAAGGACGUGAUAAGCUGCGAUAAGCUUGGGGUAGGUGCAAAUAACCUUUGAUCCCAAGAUUUCCGAAUGGGGCAACCCGGCUGGUAGAAGGCCAGUCAUUCCGUAAGGAAGGCGAACGUGGGGAACUGAAACAUCUAAGUACCCAUAGGAGAAGAAAACAAAAGUGAUUCCGCAAGUAGUGGCGAGCGAACGCGGAACAGCCCAAACCGAUGAUGUUUAGGCAUUGUCGGGGUAGUAGGACCACGUUGUGGCAAGAGAUUAAGGAAGUAGAACGUUUUGGAACAAACGGCCGUAGACGGUGAAAGCCCGGUAUACGACUCUUUAACGAAGCCUAGUGGAAUCCUGAGUAGCGCGGAGCACGAGAAAUUCUGUGUGAAUCAGCGGGGCCCAUCCCGUAAGGCUAAAUACUCCCGAGAGACCGAUAGCGAACCAGUACUGUGAAGGAAAGGUGAAAAGCACCUCGAACAGAGGAGUGAAAUAGUCCCUGAAACCGUCUGCCUACAAGCGGUCGGAGCAACGUAAGUUGUGACGGCGUGCCUUUUGCAUAAUGAACCUACGAGUUACUUUCUCCGGCAAGGUUAAGGGCUUCAGGCCCGGAGCCGAAGCGAAAGCGAGUCUUAAUAGGGCGUGAUAGUCGGAGUGAGUAGACGCGAAACCAAGUGAUCUACCCUUGGUCAGGAUGAAGGUUGGGUAACACCAACUGGAGGUCCGAAUGGGUAUACGUUGAAAAGUGUUCCAAUGAACUGAGGGUAGGGGUGAAAGGCUAAUCAAACUUGGAGAUAGCUCGUACUCCCCGAAAUGCAUUUAGGUGCAGCCUUUAUUUAGUAUAGCAUGAGGUAGAGCGACUGAUUGGAUGCGAGGGCUUCACCGCCUAUCAAGUCCAGAUAAACUCCGAAUGCGUGCUAUAUAUUGAUAAGGAGUGAGGGCGCGGGUGCUAAGGUCCGCGUCCGAGAGGAGAAGAAUCCAGACCAUCAGCUAAGGUCCCCAAAUAACAGUUAAGUUGAACUAACGAAGUCGGACUGCAGAGACAGCUAGGAUGUUGGCUUGGAAGCAGCCAUUCAUUUAAAGAGUGCGUAACAGCUCACUAGUCGAGGAGUCCGGCGUGGAUAAUACUCGGGCAUAAACUGUUUACCGAAGCUAUGGAUGUGUAAACACAUGGUAGGGGAGCAUUCCAACGGCGUCGAAGGUGAAGGAUGACCUUUGCUGGAGCUUUUGGAAACGCAAAUGUAGGUAUAAGUAACGAUAAAGGAGGUGAGAAACCUCCUCGCCGAAAGACUAAGGUUUCCUGAUCAACGUUAAUCGGAUCAGGGUAAGUCGGGACCUAAGGUUAAGCCGAACGGCGAUACCGAUGGAAGAAUGGUUUAAUAUUCCCAUACUACUUUAUGGAGCGAUGUGGAGACGGAGAAGUGACAGUCCUGCCAUCUGACGGAAUAGGUGGUUGAAGAGUGUAGAUGUAGAUUCCUGUAGGCAAAUCCGCAGGGAGAGUCGACCUUGACAGUAUGCCGCGUGCUUGCACAAGGCAAAAUGGACGUAAUCAGGCUCCCAAGAAAAUCCGCUAAGCAUAUUCAUAAAGUACCCGUACCGUAAACGGACACACGUAGUUGGGUUGAAAAUACUGAGGCGCUCGAGUGAUUCACGGUUAAGGAACUAGGCAAAUUGACCCUGUAACUUCGGGAUAAAGGGUCCCUACUGAGAGGUAGGGCGCAGAGAAUAGGUCCAGGCAACUGUUUAACAAAAACACAUGGCUGUGCGAAAUAGAAAUAUGAAGUAUACAGCCUGACACCUGCCCGGUGCUGGAAGGUUAAGAGGAGAGCUCAUCGCAAGAGAAGGCUUGAAUUGAAGCCCCAGUAAACGGCGGCCGUAACUAUAACGGUCCUAAGGUAGCGAAAUUCCUUGUCGGGU